rnacentral:lncRNA from 1 species
GUGAAAACAAAGCAGAGGAGUUCUGCCCUGAAUUACAUGCAGAGGAGCGACCAGAACAGCAGAGCAACAACAAAUCCAGAUCCAACAACACAAAGAAAUGGAACAAGAGGAUGAUCUGGAGAGGCUGCACAUUCAUGCAGACCCCAGCAGGCUGAGAUAAGGUAUAUUUUUGUCUGGCAAGAUAAGGCGGAGAAAGCAAACAUAUUACAGGGCUCAAAAUUCUAUAUCUAUAGCUCCUUUUGGUGAGUCCAAUAAUUCAUUCAUUCAUGGCCUCUGUUUCCUCUGUGAACAUGUGCCUCAUACAUACAUCACUGCGCUGAUAAAGAUCGCAGACAGAAUUGGUAAUACGCUGUGAAUGGGACACUGCAGCACUGAUUAAAUAACUUCGGUGGCACACUAAAAUUGAAGCGGCCGCGGGAUGAAAGGGGACUUAUCGGGGGCUUUAUUAAAGGCAGCAGAGGAUGAUUUUAGGUUUAGGGUGAUGUACACAAUUUAAGACACAAUGUCCUCAGACACAGCCCAGGGAUUUAAAAGAGAAAACAAAAAUGGCCUCUCUGACCUCUGUCAACGUAUUUCCCCGCCAACACACACAUAAAGGAGGAAGUAUUAUCCAGUUUAUACCAGGACUGAAAGAAAUCAGCGACCAGGAGGGUUCAGGACUUUGCUCUUUAUUAAUCCUUUAUUAUUAUAAUGAUUACGUUUAUUCAAUGAGUUCUGAAAUAUCUAAUGAAAAUGAUUUUAAAGCUCCAGUUGGGAACUUUGCUCAGCGAGAAUAUCUAGUGUGGUAAAUAAAGUCUGUUUCUGUUAAACUCUAUAACCUCAUUAUCGCCUCGUUUUAAUGCUGUCAGAUUUAAUUGUUCGAUCUCGUGUUUGUUUGUUUGUUGUUGUUUUUACAGGGUUUUCGAUCAGAAUCAAGUCUUCACCUCCGCUCAGUGAUAAACUUUUAUACUGCUGUGAUGAUUCUGUCAGGUUGUCAGAUUUUAACCUCAGAAAAUCACAUUUUUCAGCAUCAUAAAGCUGUCAUGAUGUACGAACCUGCUCAAUACUGAACAUGUCAAUAAAACAACGCAGUCAGUCAAACAAGACAAGAGUAGACUGACACACCACUUUAUAAACUUCCCUCAUAAACAGAAUUAACUCAAUUAGUUAAUAAACAGAAUUGAAUUUAUGAUUUAUCCUCAUCAGCAGCUCUGAGACUGAAACUUUACGCUUUUAUUUUGAAGGGCUGAACGAAAACAGUUGAUAAAAUCAGUAACCUGAGGAGACUCGAGCUCUAAUAUUGUUUUUGAUUCAUAAUAAAUCUUUAAUAUCAGUUUUUAAAAGCAAUAAAUAAUCUCUCAGAGGGAUGCUAAAGCUAGGUCACUAACAGCUGCUGCUUCUUCAUCUCUCCUCAGUUUAAUGUCGUGUCGUAUUUUAUUCUUUAUUACUGUACGCUCAGUUUUUAACACGAUAUCUACAUUUACUGUUUUUUAAAAGGACUGUUUUAGCCUGGACAGCUCGGUUUUAUUGAUAUCAUCUUGUCUUAAUCAUAAUUUGUCUUUUUUUAUUUGCUUCACUUACUAAAGAUGAUUAAUAAAUUCAGUUAUUGUAUUAUUAUUGUUGUUGUCUUUUUUAGGGUUUUCACCAAUCAGAAUCAAGUAUGUAUCACAGUAGUGACCUUUGACCUUUACUGUUAUGGUGAACACAAACAAACUAAUGAAUCAUGUUACAUAUUUCUCAAACAAACAGUCCAGAUUUGAAGUCCUAAAGUAACAGGGAGGUAAAACCAGAACAGGAGGGUUUUCCACGUCAGAUUCAGAAUAAGGAUCAAUUGUCAUUCUAACUAUUUAAAGUUUAUUUCCUUCUAAUCACAAAUUUGCUGAAAACAAUCCUCUGUAACAUGAAGAGGACAUACAGUCAUGAUGCACAUGAACAUAAAGUACUCGAUAUGAAAACACUGAAAGUUUAAGUUCAGCUUUAAGUUCAAGUUUGAGGAUUUAUGUGACGCUGCACCUUAAUGGACUUCAAUAUUAACAUUUUAAUAAAAGGUUUAACAGCCGCUUUCCUUCCUAUUCAUCUGCUCUGUGCUUUAUUGAACUCUUUCCCCGUAGAUUUCCUGACAGACCAUAAAAGCUUUUAUUUUACAUUUCCUUUUCUCUGCUCUGAGCCAAUGUGUAAAGAUUUCCGUCAAAUCAGAAUCUAUUUUACAUCGGGCUGAGGGAGAUCCUCGGCGGAGUUUAGCGGCUGCAGUUAAUCUGCUCUGAUGGUCUAACAGGGUUUGUCUGCACAGCAUCUCCACAGCCAAAUCAUACAGUCUGAGGGAGCAUCAACCCAACAGAUGGCAGUGACACGAAUUAAAAGCACAGAACAAUAGUAGAAUAUAAACCAGAAAUGACACCCAAAGUGGCUGUUGAUUUAUAGCCGCAGCCAGUUUGGUACUGGGCUUCCAUGUAUAUUAGUGCUACAAAUCUGGGUCCAUUUAGCAGGGAGAUGCUCAUACAUACAUCACCGACUCCUGCUCCAAGCCAAGGUCAGUCCUUAUUGCAUCAAUCUUUUCAGCAGAGGCUACUCCACACAGCAGCAGUUUUGUAACUGUCGCAGCUGUAAUGGAAUCUUUUUUCUCGCGCUUCAUCUUUCUCUUAUCACAUGAAAUAUAUAUUCAACUUCUCUUCUUUCCCUCAUUCUCCUCCUGAUUCUUUUUAUUUUAUCUGUAAAACAUUCCCCGGGACCUCAUUCCUUUUCCUGAGCGGGAGGGGGGGCGGCGGCAGCAGCGGCGGUGGUGGUGGUGGGGGGGGGGGGGACACACUCCAAGUAGCACAGAUUUAACCCCUUCAGGUCUCCCUCCAAACAGAGGGUCACUGUACAUUCAGAAGUACGAGGAAAUUUACAAAAAUAGGGCAAAAAACGAUCAACGUCAAAGAGAAAUCUGACACCUUUAAUAUGAAUCUACAGUAAGAGGCUGUUUUCUUCUUUUGAGUGUCAGUAAAUCAGCUGUUUAUCAGUUUUAAAAUUGAUUAUUGCAUAUUGGUUAUCAAACUUAAGUCUCACUGUUCGUCAAGAUAAAGAAAAGUCACUUCAGGAAACAGAGAAGUGAAAAAACGAUAAAAUACGACAUGAAAUAUAUCUGCACAUUAUACAUCAACAAAUAGAGCAGUAUUUUAGAAAACAUAGACUCUGUCUGGCCAAAGGUUUUAGGAGUUAUUAGUGAUUUUGUGCAGCAAACAUGAAUCUACAUUCAGAUGUUUAACAGAUCAGUACUAAGACUGAAAAUGUGGGAAAUGGUUAAAAUUGCUUAGGUAAGUUAAUAUCACAUGAAUUAGGGCCGUAAUGAUAAACCGGUAUUGAUUAUUGAAACCGGUAACUAGUUUUCGUAAUUGAAUGAAAUAUUGACAUCCUGCUAAAAUUAGGAUACAGUAAAACUGGGAGUUUAUAGCAGCAGUCCUUUAUGGCGGUAACCAAAACUCAUAAAACAGCUGAGAUGAAGAAGCAGCUGCUGCUAGCGAGCUAGCGUUAGCAUCCCUCUGAGAGUUAAUUAAAAAACUGACUAUAAAGAUUUAAUAUGAAUUAAAAACAACAUUAGAGUUUAUUCUGUCAAACAUUUACACUUUCCAACGGUUCAUUAACUCACUGGGGGUAAUGCACUUCAAAAUAAAAGCACAUCCAAGCAACCAAAACACAAGACAGAACAUAUUUCAAAAUAAAAGCCUGACAAACGAUCGUUUUAUAAGAAAACAGCUUCUCCGGAGAGAUGAGGAUCAUCAUGAGAGAAAUGGAUGAUGACUGUGAGUUAAUUAAGUUUAUUAACUUUCUGCUGUAAUCUGUUGAUCCGCUCUUUUCCCGCCUUUUCUCAGUCUUACCGGUCGUGUUUUUUAAAACUACAAAAAUGAUAAUUGUCAUGGUAUUAAAUGUCAUCUACAUAAGAGAAGGUCAUGUUAAAGGGAGGUCGCCAUGUUUCUGCCAAUGCAAAACAAAGAUGGAGGUGUUUGAUGGUAAAAAACAUGGAGGAUGAUCACAGCAGCUUUUAGUCCUCAGGAGGGACAGGAGGGGUGAGCAAGGGGAGCGUGUUCACCUCCCAUCUGUGCACACUUUACCUUUAACAAAUUUUACAGCUGAUAUGAAUCACAUCUAAAGAAGAAAAUCAGCAGCAGCUCUGUAACGUUUUCACAUGUUACAGUUUCUUUACAUUUAAAGGAACACUCAGCGAUUCCUCAGUCCUGUGUUUCUUUUUCCUUUAUAAAACAUCAGGAUGUAAUUUUUCAGAGGAACUUACUGUGUCAUGUUUGUUAUUCUCAGGUUGUGAUAAUGGUCCCUAAAAAAAGCUUCACCUCUGACUGUUCAGGGAUAACAAAGUGAAGAUUUUAAACACACACGUAAAAAUAGAUUCGUCUCAUUUAUAGGAUGCUUUGAACAGGCGACAAGACGUUUAUUAAAAUCCCUCCUCUCCUCUCGUCUGUAUACAUUAUUCACAAAGUCAUUUCCCAAAGGUUUGACUCUCAUAAAAGCACUUAACAUCCACUCACAGUAGAAAUGGUUCUUUUUAAAACGGGGAAUGUCACUUUUCCUGGAUUUUAUCAAAAGUGUCAUAAAACAGACCCUCGUCUGUUUGUUAUUCUGCGCCUGAUCGAUGAGGCCGAAUCACUCGUAAAGAAGUGAAAAUGUGAGGCGCUGCUGUACGACGCUGGUGCUGAGUCAGUUUCUGUUGUCCUGAUUACUCACACUGUAGCCUCAUGUAGUACUUUAAUAAAUGAAGAAAUAAUAAAAUCAAUCAUUUUAAAUAGCGUUGGACCAUUUACAGCGACGGCAGGAGAAAAAAAGAGCAGACUUUUAAUUGAUGAACUUGACCUGCUUUUCCCUGAUAACAAAUUUCAUUUGUUCUAUAAAAAUUAUGCUCGAGUGACAUUAUUUGACGGGAUCUUUAUCACCUGCAGAGUAAAUAAGAGUAAUUUAUGCUGUUUAAUUUUGAGCGUGGCAUAUAAAUCAGGCCUCUAUCAUACAUUACAGAGCUCGCAUUGAUGAGGGGAGAGUGAGAGCGGGGCCAGCUGAUUGGGUUGUUAAGGUAGCAGUGCAAAGUAACAGUACCGGCAGAGACGGGCUCUCCCAGCGUGGGUCUGUGCACGGGCAGAUUGAUGCUCAUGAUGAAUGAUGAUAAACACCCAGCAGAGCCGAGUGCUGAAAGAUAGACUUUUAAAUAAAUUAUAAAGUAUGCAUCAUUAAAAAGCAGACACCGGUGUGAUGCAGGAACACAUUACAGGUGUGUGUGUGUGUGUGUAUUGUUUUCACUGCGAAUGAUGUGGUGCAGGUACAUAAUCAUCAGUGUAAAUCCAGUUGUGCGUUCAUGCUACAUUGCUUUUGCAGUCAUAAUAACAUGAUCAAAUGACAUAAUAAAGUGCAGUGUGUAAUAACAAUAAAAAAGCUGAAGAUAUAUAGAGCUGCGAUGUGACAGAGUGUAAUGUAAAUUAAUACAGACAUAAUUCCAUCUGCACAGAGCUGAUUACAGACGUCGCUCUCCUGCAGGUGAAGCCUGGUGGCGAGAUGAAGCUCUCUCACACCGGCAGAAGAAGAGCCGCACAUCCUCUGUCACCGAGAUGGCUCCUGACAAAUAUCAGUCCGCGGCGAUGAAAACAUGACAGCUGUCAAUCAUCGCUUAAUGAUGGGAGCAGAGCAGCUCGCUCGCCGGGAGUUUGACCUGCGAGGCCGCGGAGACACACACACUCUGAUUGAUCCAUCAGCUUUUAUUAACAAAUACUGUUUAUUAAAGUAACAGCGGCUAAGUCAUAACAAUAAGUUAGCUAAGACGUGUGUUAUAGUAAGGAGUCAGAGUCUUACUUGUAAAAGAUGAAACAUAGAGAACAUCAAACAUGGAUGUAGCCUCAGUGUGACCACAUAUUAGUUUGUCAGGAGGUCAAUAUGGCCGUCACCUGUUUACAAAGCUAGGAACUAAUAUCCCACAGUGUCAGUCCAAUCAGCCACACCCCAAUAUGCUCAAGGUCCACGAAGCUAGCUAUGUUUGUUGAAACGGCGCAGUCUGAAAGCCCUGUGAUCGGUCUACUUGGCGCCAACCUGUAUAGUCGUCAUUUAUAAGUCUCCAUGUAACCAUAACGGAUGAGAUAUUAAAAACUGCAAACCUGUACGGUUCACUCAAACUGUAAGAAUUUCGAUUUUAACAACUCCAAAUGGUUUACCUUUGCCUCAAGUGGACACUGGAGGAACUGCAGUUUUCCACAAUAAGACUGAGGAUUUUCAUUAGUGAGAAGUGAAGUUCAGUAAGUUUUAUUUUUAUACUUUCAAUCUCAUAUUUUGUUAGGUCAGCAAAGUGUAAAAAAAAGGUGAAUAGAAAAGUAAAUAUGACAACAGCUAAUUAGACUAACUUAACUAGAUUAGUACAAUCACCACGAAUUAUUCUGACGUCUACUGCACUGCUUUAGAUUUAAGUUCAACGUUGUGAUACACAGGUGCAAAAACACAUGCAACAGGCCAAAAUCAAUGCAACACCACAGUGCAAAUAAAAAAACAAACAUGAGAGAAAAGGUGAACAAAGCUGCAGCUGCAACAACUCUACAGACUCUGACAAACAGGAACUGUGUGUGCAAAGACCGUUAAGUUUUGCUGUUUUCUGAAAGUCAUUUUUAUACUUUAUACUUCAUAUGGACAGGACUAUUUUACUUGUUCACUAAAUACUUCAGUUUUUAAACUGCAUUAAUAUUUGAUGGGAUAUUUAUUUUUGACAGGACAAAAUCCUCAAACUUCUCAUAUCUUACAAAAUAAAAUCCGGAGAAAUUUGACAACAAAGUCAAACUUUCCCUCCAAAGUCCUCUCCCUCUGACUUUUCGACCGUGCACCAUAAAGACCACCAUCUGCUCUCCGUUCCUCCUCUGCCGCAGCAGCAGAGUGAGUCCUGCUCUGAGGUCUUGAAUCUGCUGCGGUGCAGAGUGUUGUGUAUUCAGAUGAAGAAGGAUUAAUAACGCUCUUCCUCCUCUCGUCUCGUCCUGCAGAGCUUUAUGAGUUCCUUCGAUCCCUGCCUUCAGAAGCCAUUAGCGCUCUUCCUCCUGAGAGAUAGAAGGCAGAGCAGCCCGCAGCCACAGUGAGAGUCCUC